CCUACGGGUGGCAGCAGUGGGGAAUAUUGCACAAUGGGCGCAAGCCUGAUGCAGCCAUGCCGCGUGUGUGAAGAAGGCCUUCGGGUUGUAAAGCACUUUCAGCGGGGAGGAAGGCGUUAAGGUUAAUAACCUUGGCGAUUGACGUUACCUGCAGAAGAAGCACCGGCUAACUCUGUGCCAGCAGCCGCGGUAAUACGGAGGGUGCAAGCGUUAAUCGGAAUUACUGGGCGUAAAGCGCACGCAGGCGGUCUGUCAAGUCGGAUGUGAAAUCCCCGGGCUCAACCUGGGAACUGCAUUCGAAACUGGCAGGCUAGAGUCUUGUAGAGGGGGGUAGAAUGCCAGGUGUAGCGGUGAAAUGCGUAGAGAUCUGGAGGAAUACCGGUGGCGAAGGCGGCCCCCUGGACAAAGACUGACGCUCAGGUGCGAAAGCGUGGGGAGCAAACAGGAUUAGAUACCCGAGUAGUC
rnacentral:rRNA from 1 species